rnacentral:rRNA from 1 species
AAAUUGAAGAGUUUGAUCAUGGCUCAGAUUGAACGCUGGCGGCAGGCCUAACACAUGCAAGUCGAACGGUAACAGGAAGCAGCUUGCUGCUUUGCUGACGAGUGGCGGACGGGUGAGUAAUGUCUGGGAAACUGCCUGAUGGAGGGGGAUAACUACUGGAAACGGUGGCUAAUACCGCAUAACGUCGCAAGACCAAAGAGGGGGACCUUCGGGCCUCUUGCCAUCAGAUGUGCCCAGAUGGGAUUAGCUUGUUGGUGAGGUAACGGCUCACCAAGGCGACGAUCCCUAGCUGGUCUGAGAGGAUGACCAGCCACACUGGAACUGAGACACGGUCCAGACUCCUACGGGAGGCAGCAGUGGGGAAUAUUGCACAAUGGGCGCAAGCCUGAUGCAGCCAUGCCGCGUGUAUGAAGAAGGCCUUCGGGUUGUAAAGUACUUUCAGCGGGGAGGAAGGUGUUGUGGUUAAUAACCGCAGCAAUUGACGUUACCCGCAGAAGAAGCACCGGCUAACUCCGUGCCAGCAGCCGCGGUAAUACGGAGGGUGCAAGCGUUAAUCGGAAUUACUGGGCGUAAAGCGCACGCAGGCGGUCUGUCAAGUCGGAUGUGAAAUCCCCGGGCUCAACCUGGGAACUGCAUUCGAAACUGGCAGGCUUGAGUCUUGUAGAGGGGGGUAGAAUUCCAGGUGUAGCGGUGAAAUGCGUAGAGAUCUGGAGGAAUACCGGUGGCGAAGGCGGCCCCCUGGACAAAGACUGACGCUCAGGUGCGAAAGCGUGGGGAGCAAACAGGAUUAGAUACCCUGGUAGUCCACGCCGUAAACGAUGUCUACUUGGAGGUUGUGCCCUUGAGGCGUGGCUUCCGGAGCUAACGCGUUAAGUAGACCGCCUGGGGAGUACGGCCGCAAGGUUAAAACUCAAAUGAAUUGACGGGGGCCCGCACAAGCGGUGGAGCAUGUGGUUUAAUUCGAUGCAACGCGAAGAACCUUACCUGGUCUUGACAUCCACAGAACUUUCCAGAGAUGGAUUGGUGCCUUCGGGAACUGUGAGACAGGUGCUGCAUGGCUGUCGUCAGCUCGUGUUGUGAAAUGUUGGGUUAAGUCCCGCAACGAGCGCAACCCUUAUCCUUUGUUGCCAGCGGUCAGGCCGGGAACUCAAAGGAGACUGCCAGUGAUAAACUGGAGGAAGGUGGGGAUGACGUCAAGUCAUCAUGGCCCUUACGACCAGGGCUACACACGUGCUACAAUGGCGCAUACAAAGAGAAGCGACCUCGCGAGAGCAAGCGGACCUCAUAAAGUGCGUCGUAGUCCGGAUUGGAGUCUGCAACUCGACUCCAUGAAGUCGGAAUCGCUAGUAAUCGUGGAUCAGAAUGCCACGGUGAAUACGUUCCCGGGCCUUGUACACACCGCCCGUCACACCAUGGGAGUGGGUUGCAAAAGAAGUAGGUAGCUUAACCUUCGGGAGGGCGCUUACCACUUUGUGAUUCAUGACUGGGGUGAAGUCGUAACAAGGUAACCGUAGGGGAACCUGCGGUUGGAUCACCUCCUUACCU